rnacentral:rRNA from 1 species
CACGGGGGGAGCAAGCGUUGUUCGGAAUCACUGGGCGUAAAGGGCGUGUAGGCGGUUAGGUAAGUGGGACGUGAAAUCCCUCGGCUCACCCGAGGACCUGCGUCCCAAACUGCUUCGCUCGAGUCUCGGAGAGGAAGGUGGAAUGCUUGGUGUAGAGGUGAAAUUCGUAGAUAUCAAGCAGAACACCUGCGGCGAAGGCGGCCUUCUGGACGAUGACUGACGCUGAGACGCGAAAGCGUGGGGAGCAAACAGG